rnacentral:rRNA from 1 species
ACGAACGCUGGCGGCGUGCUUAACACCUGCCAGUCGAACGGAAAGGCCCUGCUUUUGUGGGGUGCUCGAGUGGCGAACGGGUGAGUAACACGUGAGUAACCUGCCCUUGACUUUGGGAUAACUUCAGGAAACUGGGGCUAAUACCGGAUAGGAGCUCCUGCUGCAUGGUGGGGGUUGGAAAGUUUCGGCGGUUGGGGAUGGACUCGCGGCUUAUCAGCUUGUUGGUGGGGUAGUGGCUUACCAAGGCUUUGACGGGUAGCCGGCCUGAGAGGGUGACCGGCCACAUUGGGACUGAGAUACGGCCCAGACUCCUACGGGAGGCAGCAGUGGGGAAUAUUGCACAAUGGGCGGAAGCCUGAUGCAGCAACGCCGCGUGCGGGAUGACGGCCUUCGGGUUGUAAACCGCUUUCGCCUGUGACGAAGCGUGAGUGACGGUAAUGGGUAAAGAAGCACCGGCUAACUACGU